AGGAGGGUGGGGAUGACGUCAAGUCAUCAUGGCCCUUACGGCCUGGGCUACACACGUGCUCAAUGGUCGGUACAAAGGGUUGCCAAGCCGCGAGGUGGAGCUAAUCCCAUAAAACCGAUCGUAGUCCGGAUCGCAGUCUGCAACUCGACUGCGUGAAGUCGGAAUCGCUAGUAAUCGUGAAUCAGAAUGUCCACGGUCGAAUACGUUCCCGGGCCUU
rnacentral:rRNA from 1 species